ensembl:lncRNA
AUGUCCUGGAGCCUUGCUUUAUAUUUUCUCAUCUGUUUCUCAGGAACUUCAGCUACAAAAGAAAACACGGUUAAACAUGAGCUAAUUGUUAUCAUUGCUGAGGAAGGCGAUUCUGUCAAUAUGACAUGUGACUUUAACAAUCCAAAACUGAUAGGUGUAUAUUUGAAACGAAUCCUGGGAAAUCCUAUGAAUGUGAUAUAUGCUACAGCAUAUGGAAAAGACAAGACUGAAGCUCCCGAAUAUAAAAAUCGCACAGAAUAUUUUCAGCUGAACAACACAGUGAUGAUUACACUGCGACAGGUGAAGAAGAAUGAUAGUGAUGCAUAUGUGUGUGAGGGAGCCCUGCUAAGAAACAAUUUGCCUCAUACAAUGAAUAGCAGCAGUAUCAUUUUAGCAGUGAAAGCCUCAGAAAAGACAGAGUAUUCCUCAUCUCCCUGGAUGCUGUAUACCCUCAUCUUCCUGUCCUUGCUGGUAGUUUUUAUACUGGGAUGCUUUUCUCUCUCUCAUAUAAAUGUCAAGAAAUACUGCAAAAAAGAAAAGGGGCAGGAAUUGCAAAAUAUAGUCUAUGAAGAUAUGACUUGCAGCUUGAGACCCAACACAAAGACUACAUCAAAUGUGUACAGUGCACAAUGAAUACUAUUGCUGAAGGCUUCUGGAAUUCCAAUUCAUUUCUCUAUUUGUUUUGAGAUUUGCAAUUCAUUUUGGGAGGUGUAUCCAAAUGUGUAUAAUUCAUGCAGUGGUUAGUAUAUUUAAUACAAGAGUAUUUUCACACCAUGAAAUUAUAGCACCUUGAUUUCACUUUGACAGCUGUGGUUCUGUCCAAUGGUAUCCUAUCCUAGCUGUUUGCAGAGGGUUAUUUAGGGUCCUCAGCCGGGUAUGUGGCUCUGAGCAAACCAAAGAGAUUGUGCAUUUCAUAUACAGCCAGUAUAAUUAAAAUGGAAUAAUUGUGCUAUAAUUACAUAGUGUGAAAAGUCCCUUUAUCUGUAUUGGCUGAUUAGAAUUUGAUGCUCAAAAUGUACACACUAAUGAGACUUUUAUGCUUCAAACUGAAUGGAGGUUCAAUAGAAGAGGGUCAAGAGAUCUUUCCUUGUAGUUAUAGACUGUUUUUAAAAAGUGAUACCAUUCUUAGGACACUCUGGGCCCUUCCAGACAGACCCUAUAUUCCAGGAUCAGAUCCCAGGUUUUCUGUUUAUCCCAGAUUAUCUGGCAAUGAGGAAUCAUAUAAUCCAUAGCAUGCAUUAUUGACCACAUUUAAUUUUGCAUUUAAGAGAGAAAGUGAAAUAGUUACUAUAGUUUUAAGGUGUAGAAUUCUUUCUGAUAAUUUAAACAACUUUGAUUUCAAACUGCAGUCAUCGUACUGGAAUGAGAUUAGAAACUAUUAAAUAUAGGAUAUGUUGUCAAAGGCUUUCAUGGCUGGAAUCACUGGGUUGCUGUGAGUUUUCUGGCCUGUAUGGCCAUGUUCCAGAAGCAUUCUCUCCUGACAUUUCACCUACAUCUAUGGCAGACAUCUUCAGAGGUUGUGGAAAACUCACAGCAACCCAGAUAUAGGAUAUUUACUGGGUUUAUCUAAUAAUGAUGAUAUGUUCAAAAUUUUGCUUAGAUGUUUAGGAGUUCUAGCUUUAUAAUUUUUCCUGUUGCAGACCAUUCUUUAUACAUUGCCUUGUAAUACUAGAUAAGACGGAGGCAACUGGAAUUGCAGUUAAAUGUAUAGACAUUGAUAUAUGUUACAGAGUUGUGCAGCUGUUUGUAAAUGGCUUGGCUAAACAAGCAGAGUGAUGCAUUGAGUUUUUGUUCAUGCAUGGCAGCCUUCAUAUAAUGUUGGAGCUAAUGUAAGAUUAUUUGUUUUGAUGAAGUAUGAGAAGUGAAAAAUAAAAUAUUACUUUUGAUGAAGCAAAGGAAAUGACUUCACUAUUAAAAGUGGUACAAAAUAUAGCAGUAUUUUAUAGUAAAUAUUGCCUGGUGGUGAUAUGUGAAAUGGGAUGCUGAGGAUGAUAUGGGCUGUGAACCAUAUGUAAGUGGUCUGCAUCCCACAAACACAGUGGAUUUUGUUUGUGUGGGAAAAGCACCAUAUUGUCCCCAAUGUAACAGGGUCUACUAGUGCUGGGAGUCUGCAAUUUCUCAGGCACAGGGGGAUGCUUAAAUUGUUUUGUAACUGUUGCACAGACUCUUUCCUAAGCUUUGCUGAAUAAGUUUACUAGGAUGCUUUUGGUGUUUCCAGGUGUGGAAGAAGCAAAUGUCUCAGAACUCCUAUUUUGUCUUUGUUCCAGAUGUUCAAAAUAUAAUCUACCUUCCUCCUUUGCAGUUGAAUGAAUGAGCUCUCAGGCCUAAACUUCACUGCCAUCUAAUUCAGUGUAACAAUUGUAUUAGCCUGGUGCAUCCACAUGACACACAUGCUAAUGUGAUUGAAAUCAUGGUAAGACAAUUUAGCUUGAUCCCAGGUUUUUUUUUAAAACAUCUAGAGAGAUCUGACUCAUUCAGGAGGAUUCAGACCUUUCCCAGUUUUGGGGCAGAGGAUAUUGAAAUUUUGGAUCUCCAUGCGGGAUCUGAGAUUGUGUUCCCACAGUUCUGGGAAUGGCGCAGCAAUAAACUUGGAAGGCUGGAGUUGGUCCACCCUUGCUUUUGUUGUCGUUGCGGUUGUUGAGUGCCUUCAAGUCAUUUCUAACUCAUAGCAACCCUAAGGUAAAUCUGUCAUGCUGUCAGGAUCCAGAACUCUGCCAGUAUGCAGGCAGAGCUUAACCAAGACAAACACCCGGCUUGUGUCAGCUAUUUUACUUAAAGCAGUAAACCUAAAGCACUUGGGUGAUUCAAGGUCUAAGUUCAAACAUACUCAGAUUUAUUUAUUUAUUUCGUGUCAAAAGCAUUGCAUAAUAAAUAAGUUUAAAAGUGAUGAAAUAAAGGAAAUCACAAGCAGCUAAAUAAUUUUAGACCAAAAGCGGGCAACAGCAACCGCAUUGUCCAUAGCUUUAAACAACUCCUCCUCCGUAUAUGAGGCAGGACAUUGUGGGCAAGCAUACAUAUGCGGAGUUGUUUGUUCUGCUCCACAGUCACACAAGGUGGAGGAUUCCUCCAGAUAAUGCCAUCUUGCCAGAUUGUCUUUUGAUCUGUCCACUCUGCUUCUCAGUCUGUUCAGGGACUCCCAAGUGGCCCAUUCUUGGUUUGCCCCUGGAGGAAGACCCUCAUGGGGGGGCAUCCAGUUGAGAUUGCCUGGUUUAGCUGCCCAGAGGGACACUCUUGCUGUUGCUGGAGGAACAUCAAAAGGAGUGGUGGUUCUCAUGAAGCCCUUCCUUGAUUUGAGUCUGGUGGGAGGAGGCUGAUAGCCAUGCAGUGGAUGGCUUUCACAAUGUUCGACCCUAUUUCUCUCACAGUUAGUAGUAACUUCCCAUCGCAUAUUUGUGGGGGGGGGGGCAAUGCCAGCUAACUUGUAGAGUUUAUCAACAGGUGUAGGUUUAAGGCAUCCUGUGAUUAUUCUGCAAGCUUAUUGCAUAACAAGCAGAUUUCAGACCAGGGAAAAACUGUACAGGUCAAAUUUUUCAUCUGACUGAGCAUAUUGAGGAAGGCUAUGAGAAUGGCUGCAUUACAGGAACAGUUUUUGUGG